rnacentral:snRNA from 1 species
AUACUUACCUGGCGCCGGGGUCAGCCGUGGUCCCGAUGGCGGCUCCUCCAGGGAGAGGCUUGGCCAUUGCACUUCGGUCAGGCUGACACCUGCCACUACCCCAAACUGGGGCAGAUGGGGCGUGUAAUUUUUGGUAGCGGGGACUGCGUUCGCGCUAUCCCCUC